UCGAAAUCACCUUCGAAACGAAGAUCACAAUGGCACCCGCUGCCACGUUGGACUGGUCAGAGCCGUGCCAACACUGGCGAUAUCCGAAAUUCUGUCCGUCCGGACAGCAGAAGCAUGAAAGGGCGAAGAGCGCGAUGGAGUUGAGUAGCAAGGAGGCGAACACCGCGUACAAAAAAUUCUACAAAUUCCUGCGCCGUCUGAGGAACAGGAGACAUAGAGAUGGCAACAAAGUUACAACCGUGGUGGCUACACCUGGUGCUGGUCCAGAUCGUCCCCAAGAGAUCUCCUAUACAGACACUAAAGUAAUCGGUAACGGCAGCUUCGGCGUUGUAUAUCUAGCGAAAUUAUGCGACACGGAAGAACUGGUCGCCAUCAAGAAAGUUCUUCAAGAUAAACGAUUUAAGAACAGAGAAUUGCAAAUCAUGCGGCGCCUCGAGCAUUGUAACAUCGUGAAACUGAAAUAUUUCUUCUAUUCUAGUGGUGAUAAGAACAUCUUAAACGCAACUAAUCCAGUUUUUCAUGUGGACAAGGACGAGGUUUAUUUGAACCUAGUGCUGGAAUACAUACCUGAAACUGUGUAUAAAGUUGCUCGGCAUUAUAACAAGAGCAAGCAGACCAUACCGAUUAAUUUCAUUAAGCUGUAUAUGUAUCAAUUAUUCCGUUCUCUGGCGUAUAUCCACUCGCUGGGAAUCUGCCACAGGGAUAUCAAACCGCAAAAUCUUCUCCUCGACCCGGAAUCUGGCGUUCUUAAGCUCUGUGAUUUUGGUUCCGCCAAACAUCUGGUCAAAGGGGAGCCCAACGUGUCUUACAUCUGUAGUCGUUACUAUCGCGCGCCCGAAUUGAUCUUUGGUGCUAUUGAUUAUACUACAAAAAUCGAUGUUUGGAGCGCAGGUUGCGUAGUAGCAGAAUUAUUGCUCGGCCAGCCAAUAUUCCCAGGGGACAGUGGAGUGGAUCAAUUGGUCGAGAUCAUCAAGGUGCUCGGCACCCCGACACGUGAUCAGAUACGUGAGAUGAACCCCAAUUACACCGAGUUCAAAUUCCCACAAAUUAAGGCGCAUCCAUGGCAAAAGGUGUUCAGGGCACGUACGCCACCGGAAGCGAUGGAAUUAGUCGCUGGUCUCCUAGAGUAUACGCCAUCCGGCCGAAUCACACCGUUAGAAGCAUGCGCUCAUCCUUUCUUCGAUGAACUUCGGGAGCAGGGUACGCGAUUACCAAAUGGCCGAGAACUCCCCCCUUUAUUUAACUUUACAGAAUACGAGCUGCGGAUUCAGCCAUCUUUAAACUCGAUCCUAAAGCCGAAGUACAUGCAGACUUCGGAGAACGCUGGAGGCCAGUCAGAACCUGUCGCGGGUAGCAGUGGUAACGUUAGUGAUAAUAACGUGAACGCCACGUUAUCCACCUCAAAGAACACAGACCCCGGCCAAUCGAACAUGGCUUAAGCUACUUUUUAUUCUAACGUAAUUAAUUAAACAACAAACGAGAAAGACACAAAGAGAAAGAGAGAGAGAGAGAGAGAGAGAGAAAUAUUUCUCGAGAGGAGUAUAUUUAUAAGUAUAUUAAUUAGCUGUGUAUCGAUCAAGGAAUUAGCAAUGGCUUUCGAUCGGUUAAUUCAAUCGCGAAUCAUUUAUUUUCCGUUCGAUUCGACGCUUCGACACGAAGCUACAGAUCGUAAAAUAUAUUCCUGUCGAGUAUCUUUGUAGAGCAAGAACGAUAAUAAUCUUAUCAUGCAAGAGAAAUUAAAAAAAAAAACCUCUUUAAGAGUUAUUAUAUCACGAUUAUCCAUGAUGUUUCACUAACUCUAUUUCUGUUUGUGAAAGUUAUACUUUCUUUUUUUUUUUUUUUUUUUCUUCCUCCUCUCCUAAUUCUGAGAUGUAUCAUUCGUUAGAAAGAAAUUCGAAAAUUCAAUCGGAAUACUGCACGUUUCGAACGAUCGUGGCUAAAGUAGCGUAGUAAGCACUGUAUAUGUCCAACAUUGUACGCACGAUGAACGAAACGAAAACGCUUCGAUCACGAUGAAUUGUUGAAUUAUCGUUACGAUCAUUUCUUUUAAUUUUGUCCUUUGUUUUUCGUGUCGUACACGUCCUAAAGAUGGCGAAUAAUCGAUCUAAACUAAGAAGAAGAAGAAGAAGAAGAAAAAAAAGAAAAAGAAAAAAAAGUAAGUUCGUUUCGUUGCGGUAUAUAAAUACCGUAUAUGCAUAUGUAUACGGUAUUUUUUUUAAGGACAAAUAUAUUUUUAAGUUAUAAUAGUGAUUAAUUAAUACGAAAUUCGUCGAUGAAUAACGAUUAUUGUUUCUGAUUGAUUGGUUCGAGACGAUCGUAGACAAAAAAGAAAAAAGAAAAAAAAAAAGAAAAGAAACUGUAACUCCUUUCCUUGUCACGAGUAAUUUUUUUCGCAUGUAAAAUUCGAAGGACGCAAUAAAAAUUUCGUAUUAAACUUCACGUGUCACACAGGCUCAGUGUAUAAGUGAUCUCUUUGUAAUCCUAUUCUCGUUUUCUUCUCGUGUCUUUCUUUAAACGUUUGUUAAAAGACACCUUUCAUUCGUGAAUAAUCCUUAUAAGAUCAGAUCUUAUAUUCGAUCGGUGAUUGAAUUCUAAAUGUUGUACCAUGUAUAGCUCAUCUUCGAUCUACUGUAGAUACUGGCGUUGACCAAUGCGUCAAUAUAAUAAUUGAUUUAGUGGUAGCGAUGAUUUCACGAUCGCAUGGCGCGCACCCCUUUAUCGAUCUCGAUCGCGAAAUAUUAUGCGUGUAAAUAAUAGAAACGAAUGGAUGAACAAUACGCCUUUUUACGCCCGAUUUAACGCUCGAUUGGUAUCGUUCGAUGAUUCACGGCGAAUCCCGUACAUUUGUUUCGCUUUCGAACUUCUUAUUCCGAAUUUCGCUUAAUAAGGAUAAGUGCCGCCAAUAUCAUUUAUAUCUGUCGUGACAUACAAAGAGAUAUUAUAUUAUAAAUUCAAUGGAUGAUCGGCUUAAGAAUGUCGCUUAAGAAAAUGCCAACGAUACCAGUCAAGGGUUAUACACAUAACGAUCUAUCGACGAUAGUCGAAAGGGGGAAAAAAAGCUGAAUGUUAGAUCGAGCCUUUUUUUAGAGAGCAGAAUUUUUAGAGCGCGGAUCUUACAUACAUACAUACACGAUCGAAUUUUUAUAAGCUUUUUACUUUUGCACCACAAGUAGCGAUUCUAUCCGUAGUGAGCGUAUUACUUUCGCGCGUAUUACCUGUGCAGGUUAGGAUAGAAAAAGAAGGAAGAAAAAAAAACAAUGGCAAGGAGAAACUUGUCGCGAAGAAUAAAAAAAAAAAAAGAAAAACCAUAAAGUAGUAGACGAUCGAUAUUUAAGAAUGUACACACUUGUACCACUAUUUUCGGGGAUUAGAGAGAUUUUCGAGAGAUAGAGUGGAGAUAUUUUGGCAAUAUCGGUUGUAACAUAUGCUAAUAUCUCUCGUUUCUACGAUAUAGCCGAUACGAUAUAAUACGAAAAAAAAAAAAAAAAAAACAAAACGUACGUGCUAUCUCUUUGUCUCUUUCAUGAUAUGAUCUAUAACGCUUGAACGACUCAUUUACUACAAGGCUAUGAUUAUAGGACAUCCUCUUCAGAAGUAUAGAUGACACACGUAUAUAUCCCUCGCCAAUUUAUCCGACAGAAUCGAUCGUUAAUUUGACUCGUUCCACGGAAGAAGAAGAAGAAAAAAAGAAGAAACGUUCCUUAACGUGGAACGCCGCGUUCUCAGCGUGAAUCGUCCGCGUUAUUCUUUCCUUUCUUUUUGCAUCGAACGACAUUCGAGUCCCGACAAAUAAAUCGAGAAUUGGCCAUUAUUCGCUUUCCCGAAUGAGAUCGGCCACGAUUUCUCGAAAAAAAAAAAAAAAUAGGUAUUAUUCAAACCGGAAUCGAGUUCCGUUCGGAUGAUAUGAUAACCGAUCCGUUUUUACACGAUCCUCUUCCCCGUACUACUAUGUCCCCGCUCUCUGCAACGCGCUACUCGAUGGCCAAGAUCGAAAAAAAAAAAAAGGAGAAGAGAAGAAAAAAGGGUGAAAAUUUUGACGAACGAAGGGAAUUAGGUGUUUGCGCGAGGAAAGGGGGAAGAAAGGAGGAGGAGAGCGGUGGAAACGGAGGAAGGGGAACGGAGGUGACUAUACACGGUCGUUCGCAGCCCGGAGAGAAUUAUACAGUCAUGUAACGGCGUCCACGUUAGAGAUACACAUUCGGAAUGAGUGUUUUAACCCCUUCCGGUAUGGCCAUGUAUACAGUCUGCGAACCAAGUAUAGUCACGGAUAGUCGAGUGCUUCGUGGAUUUUUAAUAAUAUAAUUGACGGUCUCGUGGAUCUUUUCACUGAUCAUAGUAUGCUCCUUUAUAUAGUCCUAUGUAUACACGUCGACUGUACACGAUCACACUUUCCCCCCUCCCCCCCCCUGAAACAUGUUAUCGCGUCGAGUUAGGGAACGCGUACAGGUUAUAUAGCGGUUAGGCUCGUUAUCUCGUGCGCGAUCCCUGUAUAAUCUGUAUAUGUUCGCCGUGACGAUUAUAGUCCGGAACUAAAGUCUUUCACCUAAGUUAACUCGUCGGCUAUAAUCGAUCGAUCCCCUAUCCGAUACUGGCUGGUUACGUUCUUUCGCAACUCGAUUAUAGUCGACCGUCAUUAUACGCUUACUUAAGCUACAAGUCGAAUAUAAUCAGCGGUAAAAAAAAAAAAGUGUAAUAUUUAGGAAUUUGUUGACUAAUAAUCAAUCUUUCGUGCUUUACUCGAAAAGUACUACGUUCUGCAGUGGACGGUUAUAGUCGGCAAGCCGGUACGCUUUUAUAUUCGCUUGCCGACCAUAGCCGGAAACCAUGGUGAGCAUACCCGUUCGUCGAUCCGAUCUAACGCUAAGUCUCAGUGAACUUGUACCACAACCUCAUUUUUAUUACACGUAUUCUGUAAAAUAAGCAACAAAACGUCCAUAUAACGCACUAUUAAUAAUCAUCGAGAACAUCUCGUUCACACCUCUGACAAACCAUAAAUGCCAUACCGAGAGGGUUAUCGUUUACUCGCGAUUAUACUACUAGGGAAAAUUAUGUUAAUAAUACGUAUAAUAAAUAGAUAAUCUGUGAA
rnacentral:misc_RNA from 1 species